UGUCUUGUAUAUAUUCUUCAGGUAGAAGC
rnacentral:piRNA from 2 species